AGAGAGAGACAUGCGCGCAUAUCAAUAAGCGGAGGAAAAGAAACUAACAAGGAUUCCCUUAGUAACGGCGAGUGAAGCGGGAAGAGCUCAAAUUUGAAAUCUUCAAGGUUUUACCUUGACGAAUUGUAGUUUAAAGAAGUGUUUUCUACUUGAAGUUUUGGUAAAAGUUCUUUGGAAUAGGACAUCAUAGAGGGUGAGAAUCCCGUAUUUGACCAUUAUUUUCAGCUUUGUGAUACACUUUCAAAGAGUCGGAUUGUUUGGGAAUGCAGUCCUAAAAUGGGUGGUAAAUUUCAUCUAAAGCUAAAUAUUGGCGAGAGACCGAUAGCGAACAAGUACCGUGAGGGAAAGAUGAAAAGAACUUUGAAAAGAGAGUUAAACAGUACGUGAAAUUGUCAAAAGGGAAGCGUUUGACACCAGUGUUGUUUUCUCGAAAAUCAAUUAAAAAUGGCUCGAUUUUGUAUUGUUGAGACCUUAAAAGCUCACUGUACAUUUUUCGUGUCUUUUUUAAUGCACUUUUCGUUUAACAAGUCAACAUCAGUUUCUUUUGUUGUAAAAGGGUCAUUGGAAGGUGGCUUUCUUUUCGGAGAAAGUGUUUAUAGCCUUGGCCUCUGCAAUCGAAGAGACUGAGGUCUGCAGCGUAGACUCUUCGGGGUUAGAUACAUUUGUGCUAAGUUAUAGCUUUUCAUAGACAACUUGUUGACUAUAAUUAGUCUUGUAGCUUACUCGCUUAUGCUAUUUUACCUACGCUUAGGAUGUUGAGUCGUAGAGCACGCAG
rnacentral:rRNA from 1 species